rnacentral:rRNA from 1 species
AACGAACGCUGGCGGCAGGCUUAACACAUGCAAGUCGAGCGCCCCGCAAGGGGAGCGGCAGACGGGUGAGUAACGCGUGGGAAUCUACCCAUCUCUACGGAAUAACGCAUGGAAACGUGUGCUAAUACCGUAUACGUCCUUCGGGAGAACGAUUUAUCGGAGAUGGAUGAGCCCGCGUUGGAUUAGCUAGUUGGUGGGGUAAAGGCCUACCACGGCGACGAUCCAUAGCUGGUCUGAGAGGAUGAUCAGCCACACUGGGACUGAGACACGGCCCAGACUCCUGCGGGAGGCAUCAGUGGGGAAUAUUGGACAAUGGGCGCAAGCCUGAUCCAGCCAUGCCGCGUGAGUGAUGAAGGCCCUAGGGUUGUAAAGCUCUUUCACCGGUGAAGAUAAUGACGGUAACCGGAGAAGAAGCCCCGGCUAACUUCGUGCCAGCAGCCGCAGUAACAC